rnacentral:lncRNA from 1 species
UGUAUGCUCCUAACAGAGCAGGUGGCAAUGCUGGUGACAAAGCAUUUGCAAGACGGACUGGAAUCAGGCAAACCUGGGGUCUGAAGUCAACUUCAUGCACAAAUUAAUUUAGUGCCUACGUGCACAAAUCACACCUAUAUGACACCUUUCUGAUAUCGCUUCUGGGACUUCUUUUAUGUCUGAA